CAGCGGAGGGAUCAUUACAAGAAGCCGAAAGGCUGCUUAAAACCAUCGCGAACCUAUCCAUCAGCGUUGCUUCGGCGGGAGGAGGCCGUGGGGCCGACGUCUGCCGAGACGCCGGGCCCGGGGCCGGGACCCACGCCUCCCCAGGAGGUGCGGGGCCCGCCCGCCGGAGGUACGAAACUCUUCUGCAUCUAUAGUGGAAUCUCUGAGUAAGCAAGCAAAUAAGUCAAAACUUUCAACAACGGAUCUCUUGGUUCUGGCAUCGAUGAAGAACGCAGCGAAAUGCGAUAAGUAAUGUGAAUUGCAGAAUUCAGUGAAUCAUCGAAUCUUUGAACGCACAUUGCGCCCGCCAGUACUCUGGCGGGCAUGCCUGUUCGAGCGUCAUUUCAACCCUCAAGCCCUCGCUUGGUGUUGGGGCUCUGCGGCUGCCGCAAGCCCUGAAAUGGAGUGGCGGGCUCGCGGCGACUCCGAGCGUAGUAGAAUCCUAUUCUCGCUAGGGAGGCGCGGCGCGCUCCGGCCGUUAAAGAUCUCUUAAUACAAGGUUGACCUCGGAUCAGGUAGGAAUACCCGCUGAACUUAA
rnacentral:misc_RNA from 1 species